rnacentral:rRNA from 1 species
GACGAACGCUGGCGGCGUGCCUAAUACAUGCAAGUCGAACGCAGUGGGGACGGGUGAGUAACACGUGGGUAACCUCCCAUCAGAGGGGAUAACACUUGGAAACAGGUGCUAAACCGAUACUGAUGGAUGGACUCGCGGUGCAUUAGCUAGUUGGUGAGGUAACGGCUCACCAAGGCCACGAUGCAUAACCGGCCUGAGAGGGAGUUCGGCCACACUGGGAAGGAGACACGCCCCAGGCUCCUACGGGAGGCAGAAGUAGGGAAUCUUCGACAAUGAACGAAAGUCUGACCAAGCGAUGCCGCGUGAGAGAAGAAUGUGUUCGGAUCGUAAAACUCUGUUGGUAAAGAAGCGGUAUCUAUACAGAAAGCCACGGCUAACUACGUGCCAGCAGCCGCGGUAAUAC